rnacentral:rRNA from 1 species
UACGUAGGGGCGAGCGUUAUCCGGAAUUAUUGGGCGUAAAGAGUACGUAGGCGGGAGCUUAAGCACAGGGUUUAAGGCAAUGGCUUAACCACUGUAUGCCUUGUGAACUGAGCUUCUUGAGUGCAGGAGGGGAAAGCGGAAUUCCUAGUGUAGCGGUGAAAUGCGUAGAUAUUAGGAGGAACACCAGUGGCGAAGGCGGCUUUCUGGACUGUAACUGACGCUGAGGUACGAAAGUGUGGGCAGCAAACAGGAUUAGAUACCCUGGUAGUCCCU